CUCAGACAAGUACUAGACACUAUGCAGACACAAAUUCAUAAGACUUGGGCCCUGCCCUCUUGGAGCUUACAGUCUAAUAUGGCACAAAAAGAAACUUGUACAAGGUACUGGACCUGCAAAUGAGGAUCAGGGAAUAAAUGCAGUGACUUCAGAUAGGGAUAGAUCAUAUAUGGCCACACCAUGAUAAUGCUUCACAGUGGAGAUAGAAUUUCAAUAAGACAGAGAGAAUUUCUUAGGGUUUUCACAAGUAGAACAUGUUUUAGGAAGAUGAUACAACACGAGGAAAAACAAAGAUACAAAAAAAGUUUUAGAUGUAUCUGACGGGAAGGGGAUGGAGAUUCUGGAGAAAAAUAGAUAAGAUUAGCUGGAGCAAUGCUUUAUGAGGAAAAUAAUGGAAGAUAAGGCAGGAAAGGCAGCUUGGAGCCAGAAGGAAGACACCAUUAUGCUCUUGGUCAAUGAAUGAUACACUAAAUGUGGGUAGUUCAAGGGAGAUUCUUCUACAGUAGUGUUGCACAACAUGGAAACAAGAUUCUAAGUGUCCAGGAGUGUGAUAUGAGGGGCCUGAACUACAGGGUAGUUCUGGGAAUAAAAAUUAAAACAUAGAGGGUAAAAUACAUCAGGAGGGAAAACGGAAAUAACUUUAGCACUAAUAGAGAGUAAGGUAUUGGCUGGGCACAGUGGCUCACACCUAUAAUCCCAGCAGUUUGGGAGGCCGAAGCAGGUCACGCAUUCAAGACCAACCUGGCCAACAUAGUGAAACCUCGUCUCUGUCUCUACUAAAAAUACAAAAAAUUAGCCAGGCAUGGUGGCGGGCACCUAUAGUCCCAGCUACUCGGGAGGCUGACCAGGAGAAUCGCUUGAACCAGGAAGGCAGAGGUUGCAGUAAGCCAAGAUUGCGCCACUGCGCUCCAGCCCAGGCAACAGUGCGAGACUCCAUCUCAAACAAACAAACAAAAAAAAAGAGUAAGGUAUCAAAAUUAUUCUGAGCUGUAGUAGAGCUAGAAAAACCUAGAGGAGCUGAUUCGAUAACUGUAGGGGUGGGAGAGGAUAGAGAUAAGGAAAUGUUCUUAAACAUCCUUUGAAGGCUAAGGAAAUCUAAACAAGUUUGAAUUUUGCAGUG
rnacentral:lncRNA from 1 species